CCUGACGGAGCAACGCCGCGUGAGUGAUGAAGGUCUUAGGAUCGUAAAACUCUGUUGUUAGGGAAGAACAAAUUUGUUAGUAACUGAACAAGUCUUGACGGUACCUAACCAGAAAGCCACGGCUAACUACGUGCCAGCAGCCGCGGUAAUACGUAGGUGGCAAGCGUUAUCCGGAAUUAUUGGGCGUAAAGCGCGCGUAGGCGGUUUCUUAAGUCUGAUGUGAAAGCCCACGGCUCAACCGUGGAGGGUCAUUGGAAACUGGGGAACUUGAGUGCAGAAGAGGAGAGUGGAAUUCCCAUGUGUAGCGGUGAAAUGCGCAGAGAUAUGGAGGAACACCAGUGGCGAAGGCGGCUCUCUGGUCUGUAACUGACGCUGAUGUGCGAAAGCGUGGGGAUCAAACAGGAUUAGAUACCCUGGUAGUCCACGCCGUAAACGAUGAGUGCUAAGUGUUAGGGGGUUUCCGCCCCUUAGUGCUGCAGCUAACGCAUUAAGCACUCCGCCUGGGGAGUACGACCGCAAGGUU
rnacentral:rRNA from 1 species